rnacentral:rRNA from 1 species
UUCGGAGCAGGAGUGACAGGUGGGUGCAUGGUUGUCGUCAGCUCGUGUCGUGAGAUGUUGGGUUAAGUCCCGCAACGAGCGCAACCCUUAUCUUUAGUAGCCAGCGGUCAGGCCGGGCACUCUAGAGAGACUGCCAGGGAUAACCUGGAGGAAGGCGGGGAUGACGUCAAAUCAUCAUGCCCCUUAUGACUUGGGCUACACACGUGCUACAAUGGCGUAAACAAAGGGAAGCAAAGCUGUGAAGCCGAGCAAAUCUCAAAAAUAACGUCUCAGUUCNAACUGUAGUCUGCAACCCGACUACACGAAGCUGGAAUCGCUAGUAAUCGCAGAUCAGAAUGCUGCGGUGAAUACGUUCCCGGGUCUUGUACACACCGCCCGUCACACCAUGGGAGUUGGGAAUGCCCGAAGCCAGUGACCUAACCGAAAGGAAGGAGCUGUCGAAGGCAGGCUCGAUAACUGGGGUGAAGUCGUAACAAGGUAGCCG